ensembl:lncRNA
GUUUGUUUGAAAAGGCAAUCUUUAUAAUUUCUUGAACAAAUGUCUUGCUUCUAUUCCAGCCUAGCUCUUGCAGACAUUCUUCAUAAACAACCUUUCACAAGAAACUUUAUCCCAGCUGUACGUCUUCCUGUCCCCGCAGUACUACCUUUAGUGUUGUUCGAUUGGUUUUGCAUUAACAGCUGCACUAUAAAAGGGCUUUGCAUUAAAACAAAUUAAUUUUUUGUUUGUUUGUUUAUUUUACUAGGACAUCCAAAUUCUUCUAGACUCAGCUGUUUUUCUCCAGACCCCUACUCCAAGGGAAAUGAAAGGCUAUACUUUCCAAGUGCCGUGAAAGUCACUCACUACUGCUUGCUUUGCUAGACACUUAAUUGAGAACAGAUAAUUCAGUCAAUAAUUAACAUUGCCCAGCAUCUACUUCAGGAUCAAAUCUGUUUUCGUGUAUGACAGCCCUCUAAAAAUACACUAUACUGCCUUGGCUGUAGCGAUAAAGCAGUGAAGCAGGGUUGUUUGGAUUUUAAGUCAGAACAUCUGUCAGGCUAGAGUGAUUUCUUUCUGGUUAGAUGUGGAAAGAAUUUUUGGCUGUUCACGACAUGAAUUCCCUUACUUUUCACCCCUCCACAUAAAACACUUUACAGAUUAUUGCUUUUGCUUUGACCUCUUGCUGCUUAAAACGUACAGGAUGAAACUUUCUUUUUUUUUCUGUUUCAGGUUUGAUGUUUGCAGAAGAAAAUGUCUCCGUUGGUACUGACUGGACAGUAUCCUUAACUUUCAAAAUCUCUCCUAAACUGUUAUCCUAAAAGCAGUUUAAAUGUCUACCAAAAACAGGUCUGACUGAGGCAUAGACAGAUGUUCACCUGUGAAGCAGCAGCAGUGUUGACAGACCUUCCAUGUCUACCUUUGUUUUAUUGAUUCCAUUACUAAGACAUAACUGCUCAAGCAGUUGUCUCAUCGCUGGAUUUUUCAAGUUUUGAUGUGUUUGUUUUUCCUUUACUUUCAGUUAUCUUAAAGCAGUACUGGAGGUGAUUUAUAUUAAGCAAAAGUUCAGAAAACUGUCAUAUUUGGAAAUUAUCUGUUUACUCAGCCUAAGCUGAAUCCAGUGACUUUAUAAACAAUUACAGAUGUUUUACAGAUGAAUAUCUCAUUAGGUUAUGAGUUAAUCUCUCAAAUAUAAACUUGUGUGCUUUUUCCAGGGCUCCUUGGGAGCCUCUUUCAAACUGUCUCCCUGGAUGAAUCCUGACAUUCAGGAAGUAUGAGCUACAAGUCCUAGCAGUACUCCUGUUUUGCUGUUGCCCAAGUCUGACAACAGAAUGGCUACGGCACUUAGCCAAGAAGCCCGAACUAUCAAAACUCUGCCUCCUCGACUCUGAAACAGUCAGAAUUCUCU